rnacentral:tRNA from 1 species
GGCGAGGUGGCUCAGUGGUUAGAGCGCAUAUUUACUAACCAUAAGGUCUGCGGUUCGAACUCGACCUCUGCCA